CAGCAGAAACACAACAAACACACGUGUGUAUCUUCACUGCUGCAGAGGAGGAGAGAGAGAGCAAUGCCUGAACACAAACACUACAGCAACAUCACUACAAACUAAACCAACAGAACAAAGUCUCUUACAGGAUCAGUGACGUGUUGUGGACUGUAAACCUGUUGAACAGAAGCAGAGACGUGUGGACAGACACUGACUGUACUGAUGACGAUCAUCUGCUGCUGCACAGGCUGUAAAGUAUAACCCCUGCUGGACACGGCUCCGGAAGCU